GGGAGGGGUGCAAGCGUUAAUCGGAAUUACUGGGCGUAAAGCGCACGCAGGCGGUCUGUUAAGUCAGAUGUGAAAUCCCCGGGCUCAACCUGGGAACUGCAUUUGAAACUGGCAGGCUUGAGUCUUGUAGAGGGGGGUAGAAUUCCAGGUGUAGCGGUGAAAUGCGUAGAGAUCUGGAGGAAUACCGGUGGCGAAGGCGGCCCCCUGGACAAAGACUGACGCUCAGGUGCGAAAGCGUGGGGAGCAAACAGGAUUAGAUACCCUGGUAGUCCACGCUGUAAACGAUGUCGACUUGGAGGUUGUUCCCUUGAGGAGUGGCUUCCGGAGCUAACGCGUUAAGUCGACCGCCUGGGGAGUACGGCCGCAAGGUUA
rnacentral:rRNA from 1 species